rnacentral:rRNA from 1 species
AUUGAACGCUGGCGGCAGGCUUAACACAUGCAAGUCGAGCGGAGAUGAGGUGCUUGCACCUUAUCUUAGCGGCGGACGGGUGAGUAAUGCUUAGGAAUCUGCCAUUUAGUGGGGGACAACAUUCCGAAAGGAAUGCUAAUACCGCAUACGUCCUACGGGAGAAAGCAGGGAAUCUUCGGACCUUGCGCUAAAUGAUGAGCCUAAGUCGGAUUAGCUAGUUGGUGGGGUAAAGGCCUACCAAGGCGACGAUCUGUAGCGGGUCUGAGAGGAUGAUCCGCCACACUGGGACUGAGACACGGCCCAGACUCCUACGGGAGGCAGCAGUGGGGAAUAUUGGACAAUGGGCGGAAGCCUGAUCCAGCCAUGCCGCGUGUGUGAAGAAGGCCUUUUGGUUGUAAAGCACUUUAAGCGAGGAGGAGGCUACUAGUACUAAUACUACUGGAUAGUGGACGUUACUCGCAGAAUAAGCACCGGCUAACUCUGUGCCAGCAGCCGCGGUAA